rnacentral:rRNA from 1 species
GCCGUAGGGCGCGGGCGUUGUCCGGAUUUAUUGGGCGUAAAGAGCUCGUAGGCGGCUUGUCGCGUCGUCCGUGAAAACCUGCAGCUCGACUGUAGGCUUGCGGUCGAUACGGGCAGGCUAGAGUUCGGUAGGGGAGACUGGAGUUCCUGGUGUAGCGGUGAAAUGCGCAGAUAUCAGGAGGAACACCGGUGGCGAAGGCAGGUCUCUGGGCAUUAACUGACGCUGAGGAGCGAAAGCAUGGGGAGCGAACAGG